GCAAGCGUUACUCGGAAUUACUGGGCGUAAAGGGUUCGUAGGCGGCUAUCUAAGUCAGACGUGAAAUCCCCAGGCUCAACCUGGGAACUGCGUCUGAUACUGGAUGGCUUGAAUUCGGGAGAGGGAUGCAGAAUUCCAGGUGUAGCGGUGAAAUGCGUAGAUAUCUGGAGGAAGACCGGUGGCGAAGGCGGCAUCCUGGACCGACAUUGACGCUGAUGAGCGAAGGCUAGGGGAGCAAACGGG
rnacentral:rRNA from 1 species